rnacentral:rRNA from 1 species
UACGGGGGGGGCAAGCGUUGUUCGGAAUUACUGGGCGUAAAGGGCUCGUAGGUGGCCAACUAAGUCAGACGUGAAAUCCCUCGGCUUAACCGGGGAACUGCGUCUGAUACUGGAUGGCUGGAGGUUGGGAGAGGGAUGCGGAAUUCCAGGUGUAGCGGUGAAAUGCGUAGAUAUCUGGAGGAACACCGGUGGCGAAGGCGGCAUCCUGGACCGGCAUUGACGCUGAGGCGCGAAAGCCAGGGGAGCAAACGGG